GUUUGCGAGCGAGCAAGGCAUAAAGAACAAGACAUCGAAGCCUCACCCACUGCUGCUGUUCUCCUCUAUCACAGCCGACAGCGCUGCGACUAUUAUUAGCACUGUAGGCGCAGUGAACCUACACGUGCACCUAAGCCACAUCUAUCUGUCGAACACCUUUUCAAGCCAACGCACUGGCGCGCGCGCGCAACGCGCACACGUGCCAUCACGGUUCUGCAGGCUACGAAACGAGUAUGUGUUUGUGAGAGACCACCAACACCACCACCAUCACACACACACACACACACACACACACAUACCCCUCCCCGAAUCUAGCAAAGAAAAAUACGUCGUCCAAUACAGAGCGGCGAGCACACUCUCUCUCCCCACCCGCACCCGCCUUUCCAAAGUCAUCGCCGCCUUCCCACGUCACCGCCUGAGAGCGCUACGGGGUAGUCUGGGUCACGUCUUGUGCGUUGUUGCCGUUCAGUUUCGUUCUUUUUUUUCUGCGCGCGUGUGCACGUGUCGUCGUCUCCUUCUCCACUGCACACGCGGGUUGCUGCUCCGUCCUCGCGACUCUGUGCCCGUGUGGGUGGGUGUGGGUGUGGACGUGCGUGUGUGUAGAGGGGGAAAGGAGUCUGCUGAGUCUCCCUCCCUCCCUUCCUCCCCUCUCUUGUGUCUUUAUCAGGCGUGCGCGUGGGUCCGCUGCGGCUCAGAUCGUGAGCGUCGCCCUCCGUCCCUCUCCUAAGUGCCCUCCUCCCUUCCACGGGUUUCGCCUGCUUAUUCUUUCAGCUGCGGUCGAUUCGUAUCGGUGUAGUGCCCGCUGUUGUUGUUUCGAGGGUUGUGCGUGCCCCCUCUUUGGCUCGUAGCGAAGCGGCGCGGUGGGAGUGGGAAGGGGCGAGAGGGUGCCCCGCGAAGACAGACUCCGUUGGCGCUGUCGGUGUGGUUUACAGCCUGGCGCAUUUCGUUCUCCCCCUUCUCGGUGCUGCUUUCCUUCGCCCUUUCUGUCCUCUGCCCUUCUCUGUUCCUCUCGUGCAUGCGCUUGCGCGUGCUGCCACGGUGUCGCCGAACCAUCACAUCUUACCUGCUGUCCAUCAUGUCCGCCACGGCAGCGUCGUCGCGGCGGAAGCAGCACCACGAGUCGCUCAAGGAGGAGUCGAUGAUCUCGUUCGAGAUGGAGCUCGACGAGGCGAUUGAGCUGCCGCUCGACGUGAGCGCCGUCGCACCGACAGACGCGGCGCUGAGCGCGCCGCUUGGGGGUAAAAAGAUCACAAUGCCAGCUGCAAGGGCCGCUUCGGAGAGCAGGGCUGCAUGGAGUAACGGCAGCACCGCCAGCCUCAGAUUCGCCGUGUGCGGUAACGGAAAGGAGCUCCCAAACACCCCCGCAACCACCGACGGCGUCGGCUCUCCCAUCGCCACGCCAGACAAUGCAGCUACCACAACCUACUCGGCGGCGGCGCCGUCACGCACGUUGACGUGGAAGGACACCAGCGCGUCUCAGCGGCGUGCCGAGGCGCAGGCGAGCCGCCAAGACGACUUCAACCCCAUGGUCCUGUGCCCGCUGCAGAACCUGGGCAACACGUGCUACUUCAACGCGGGUGUGCAGCUGCUCGUGAACUGCCCCGCCCUCGUCUAUGCAGUGCGCAACUCGCCAUUUGCGCAGAGUACACAGAGCAACGGCCCCCUCACCGCCCACGCCGUAUCGAUGCCGCGGGCUGAAGCGGCAACGGCAACGACGAAGCUGUGCCUGAAAGGGGGUGCCGCCACCCACACGCUCUUCCAGGAGUUCUCCACCCUGCUCGCCCGCAUGGAGAUGGGAUGUGCAGCCGGUGAGAGGGCGAUCUCGCCCAUUUGUGCGCUCGACUCCCUCGCGCAGGCGUAUCCGCAGUUCGAGGGUCGAAGCCAGCAAGACGCCGCAGAGAUGAUGACGUCGCUGCUGGCCAGCUUGGAGGAGGAGGGCGGUCAGUAUGUGGAAGUGGCACAGCUGCUAAAGUCGUUUGAAGAAGAUGCCGCGGCGCUGCGGCAGGGCGUGACGUCCUUGGCCUCCUCUCCCCGGGUUUCGGAGCCAGUGGCGCGAGCUCUAAAGGACGCCACCGCGCCUCUCUUGGAAGCCGAGACCGCGCCCUCCGCAUCGCCGCAUCGGCGCGAUUACAGCGAGCCCUGCAACAUCGAGGAGUACUCCCAACCAUCGCUGCUCUCCUCCACUAGUGAGGACACCUUCCUGCCGGGUCCGCGCAGCGCGCACUUCUUCACCGUACUGCGGCUGAUGGAACGGGUCAAUCGCGAGAACGAACUACUUGAGCGGCGUGUGAAGCAGCGGCAAGGCAUUGCCUACACCAACUCCUUCAAGCCCCCGCGGCUACACUUCAACCCGCUGCUGGACGGCUUCCGCGGGUAUACGCUGUCGGAGGUGGAGUGCCACAACUGCCGCGCGGUAUCGCGCGUGGUGAGCCCCUUCAAUGGGUUGCUGCUGGAUGUGCCGACGGCGAAGCAGCGCCGGCGCUACGCGUUGGCGCACCCGAAUGUGCCGCGCCGCGUCGACUUCGAUGGGCAGCUGCGGCAGGUGAAGAAGCCGUUUCGGCUGACGUGGUGGAACCCCCUCUCCCUCUGCGUGGCGGCGUGGAGGCAGCUGAAGCGGUUCUUCCAGGACCCGUUCCCGUACCCGCUGUGGCUGGACGAGUGCCUCGACAUUCACUUCGAGCCGGAGGUGCUGCGCGGGUGUAACAGGUACCGUUGCGAGUCCUGCGACACCACCACCGACGCCACCAAGUCGGAGACGCUUCUUGCCCUGCCCGAGUACCUGCUCAUCCACAUGAAGCGCUUCGAGGCCGGCCGCUUCUUUAACAGCAAGAAGUCGGACUCAGUCUUCUUUCCCACCUCGUGGCGGCCGCUCACGAAGAUGCAGGCGAGGCAGUCGCCUAUCAACACGGACGACGCGCCGCCAGCGCUGCCGGAGUACCUCGACCUGCGGCACUACCUGCACAGCAGCGUCGCACCGUUCGCAGAGCCGAUCCCGCCCUGUCUGUGGAGCACCGGCAACGAGCCCCACCAGCAGCAUCACGCGAGCAGGGACGAUGCCAGCAGCCCCGCCAGCUCCAUCGCAACCACCUACACGCUAGACGGCAUUGUCAACCACCACGGCGGCUACGACGGCGGCCAUUACACCGUCUUCCUCUACAAGGCGACGGAGGAGCGGCAGGCGUGGGUGUACAUCAGCGACGAUGAGGUGGAGCAAGCGGAGGAAGUAGUGGCGACAGAUACCGAGUACGUCCUGCUGUAUCGCCGCCAACCCCUCGUGCAGGCGGCACCAGAGUCGGACGAGGCAGAACAGCUGCGCCGAAAGGCGUGCUACUACCUCUCUCAGUCAUCCCCCUCCUGCCCUGCCCCAAACACCGCGGCAGCGACGACCGCCGGCCCUAAAUCCAGCAAGCUUCAUAACAGGUGCCCCUUCUCGUCCUCUUCGGCAGGCGGCGCGGCUAGUGCGCCACCUCACGCGGCAACCGCGGCGACCGAGCCGUGGGUGUACAUCUCGCGCAUGUGGCUUCAGCGCGUCGUCUUCAUGCACGAGCCGGGCCCGAUUGUGAAUCGCCUGUGUUACUGCCGUCCAGAGGAUCAGGGGCGGGUGAGCAUGUAUCGGACCAUCUUUCCAGCCACGGUGAAAGUGCCGGCGGAGGUGCCCCACGUUCACGGCCCGCCGGUGAGCUGGUUCUACGUGCCCAUCACACAGCGGGACUACGACAUUUUUUACAACGCGUUUGGCGGCAACGCAGCCGUGACGGCGAGCGAAUACGAGUCACUGCGUGCAAUGCAGGGCAAGUUCUGCGCCGCCAUUGAUUUAGCGGAGCGGCAGCGAGGCAGCGCAGCUCGCCCUGCUCCCCGGCGCUGAGCAGCCCAUGCAGCAAGAGACAGUUACAACGGUAGCUCCUGCUGCAGUCCCCUGUGUGCGUGCUUCUUACUUUUAACCCGUUGCUGCUGCAGUGAGGCAGGAGGAUGGCGCAUGCGCCCUUCGCAGAGUUGAGACUGCCUUCUUCCGUUUGUGGAGCCGCAGGAGGGAGGGAGGGCGUGUAUCUGGUCAAGCCGCUCUACCAAGGAUGGCAGAGACGACGACGACGAGCGACGUGCUCAUCUCGCCAUCGCCUCUGUCGUGACCAGUGUGUUGUGUUCGUGCGCCUGCAUGCCUCGUUCAAUCACUCAGCAUAAAAUC
rnacentral:misc_RNA from 1 species